rnacentral:rRNA from 1 species
GAUGAACGCUGGCGGCGUGCUUAACACAUGCAAGUCGAACGGGAAUUCUUGUAUUUUAACUUCGGUCGAUUUAAUUUAAUUCUAGUGGCGGACGGUUGAGUAACUCGUUGUUAACCUGCCUUAUACAGGGGGAUAACAGUCAGAAAUGGCAGCUAAUACCGCAUAACCUCACUGAGCUGCAUGGCACAGUUUGAAAAACUCCGGUGGUAUAAGAGGGACCCGCUUUGGUUUAUCUGGUUGUUGGGGUAACGGCACACGAAGGCGCGGAUCCAUAGCCGGCAUGAGAGGGUGAACGGCGACACUGGGACUAGGACACGGCCCAGAAUCCUACGGGAGGCAGCAGUGGGGAAUAGUGCACCAUGGGGGAAGCGCUGAUGCAGCGACGCCGCGUGAAGGAAGAAGUAUCUCGGUAUGUAAACUUCAAGCAGCAGGGAAGAUAGUGACGGUACCUGACUAAGAAGCCCCGGCUAACUACGUG